rnacentral:rRNA from 1 species
CCUACGGGAGGCAGCAGUAGGGAAUCUUCCACAAUGGGCGAAAGCCUGAUGGAGCAACGCCGCGUGGGUGAAGAAGGUCUUCGGAUCGUAAAACUCUGUUGUUAGAGAAGAAAGUGCGUGAGAGUAACUGUUCACGUUUCGACGGUAUCUAACCAGAAAGCCACGGCUAACUACGUGCCAGCAGCCGCGGUAAUACGUAGGUGGCAAGCGUUAUCCGGAUUUAUUGGGCGUAAAGCGAACGCAGGCGGUCUUUUAAGUCUGAUGUGAAAGCCUUCGGCUUAACCGGAGUAGUGCAUUGGAAACUGGGAGACUUGAGUGCAGAAGAGGAGAGUGGAAUUCCAGGUGUAGCGGUGAAAUGCGUAGAUAUAUGGAAGAACACCAGUGGCGAAGGCGGCUCUCUGGUCUGUAACUGACGCUGAGGUUCGAAAGCGUGGGUAGCAAACAGGAUUAGAUACCCCAGUAGUC